rfam:Triticum aestivum genome assembly, contig: Triticum_aestivum_CS42_TGACv1_scaffold_272064_3DS
CAUCUACUCCAUUCGUCCGGAAAAUCUUGUUCCAAGCUUGUCUUUCAAAUGGAUGUAUUUAGCACUAACUUGGUGCUAGAUACAUCAAUUUGAGGGAUAAACUUUUUCGGACGGAGGGAGUACCUU